rnacentral:lncRNA from 1 species
CUUGAGUGUGUGUGUGUGUGUGUGUGUGUGUUUCUAUUGCAACUGCCAAAAAGACAGGUGGUUAUUUUUGCAAAAAGGAAUAGGAGGAUUCUACAGAAACUGGGACACUCAGCUGCUUUCACUGGAUUCCUAGGCUCCCUUCUCAUAUCACCACCUGCAGUCAGCGUGGUUCACUUGUUUCACACCCUGCCUGGAAUUUGUACCACCAGAAUUUAUGUGGGAAGCCUGCAGCGGGACUGGGACCUGUCUCUCAGCCUCACCAACAACUGGCCUCUGGACUGUGGUGUCCAAUGUGACCCUCCAGGGCAGCAAUGUGACAGGCCUCUCCUGCUCCAUCUCCAAUCCCCUCCUUGGAGAGAAGAAGGUAACUGAGAUUGACCUGUCAGGGUUCCUGAGCACAGUGUUGACAGUAACUUUGCCUCUGAUCCUCACUGCAAUGGGGCUUGCAACGAGUGGAAUCAUCUACUUCUUAUGUCGUUAAAGGGAAAGGUAAGACAGUGGCUGGAAGGACAGAGAGC